GGGCUCGUAGUCGAAUGGUUAUGACGUCCGCCUCACACGCGGAAGAUUCGCGGUUCGAUCGUUCUUUUUUAGUAAAACAUUCGUGAACGUAUUGCGUUCACGGUGCCCCAUAAAAACGAAUUCUCGUUUUUAUAGGGAAGAACCAAAAAACUAGUUCCUAAAAAGCGCACGAAAAUCCGCGCGGGCCCA
rnacentral:tRNA from 1 species